CAAACCUGUCAGAACAUUCACCAAGUACUUUAAUUUAACUUGCUAUUUAAUAAGCCGUUUCACUGUCAUCUAUAUAUCUACAGGUCUGCUAUCAAACAUAGUGUAUCAUGAUGAAGUUUUGUUGUUCGAUUGUAGUCAUCAUUUUCACAGUUGAUGUGUCUCUUGGCGGCAUUCUAUCUGGACAAUGCAAAUCUACAAACGGAACUUGCGGACAAAGGGGUUAUUCGUGUGAUGCGACGUUUGGGGACGGAUGGAAACAGUAUGGUGUAUGCUGCAACGAAAGACCAUGUUGCAAAUUAGUGCCAUGUGUUUCGGAAACUUGUCCAGUCAGGUUCAGGUUAUUGCCAAGCCAAAUAACUAGUACUAAUUGUUAUUACUAUGGUACAGGAAAAUUUUGGGUUGAUGCUAGGGUGAGU